UACGAAGGGGGCUAGCGUUGCUCGGAAUUACUGGGCGUAAAGCGCACGUAGGCGGAUUGUUAAGUCGGGGGUGAAAUCCUGGAGCUCAACUCCAGAACUGCCUUUGAUACUGAGGAUCUUGAGUUCGGGAGAGGUGAGUGGAACUGCGAGUGUAGAGGUGAAAUUCGUAGAUAUUCGCAAGAACACCAGUGGCGAAGGCGGCAUCACUGGCCCGAUACUGACGCUGAGGCACGAAAGCGCUGGGGAGCAAACAGG
rnacentral:rRNA from 1 species